CGCUAGCGCCAUUUUGAAAUAAGGGCGAGUACGGUUCGGUAAAACUAGGACAAAAUAACCGCAACGUCAGACAGUGAGUAUGUCCUUUUGUGUACCGGGUGAAGACGACCGGAGUAAUGGCUUUCAUUGUUUAUGCGUUGUUCCAAAACUUUGUCUGAACUGGUUCUUUAAAACGAGCAGGGAUGUAAGGGGUGCCAUAUCAGGAUCAAUGUCUCCGCCCCUACUGCGGAAAACUCGUCCUGGAGAUAGCAAGUGUCAAGGGGAAUCCACAACAUCACCACAAACAUCUUUUCAAGCCAGGACUGGAGUGGGGGCUGAACUCAAGGGGCGAAUGUGAUUGGACCAUACCUGAAAAGUGAGACAGUGAUUGGCCCGUGGUAUUUGAGACAAAGCCCUAUCUUUUCCAUUUAUUUUUUGUGUGUCUUCCUGAUAAUUGAGACAAGCGUCGACUGGGAUUGGCUGACGGAUCUAUCAGUCGUUUCAGAAUACUGAAACAAUUGAGAGAGCGGAACGUUCUCAACCGAAUAAAACAACGAUUCUACAUUAUUGAAUUAACAUAUUUACUGAUUCUAAUACAUAACAUUAAGCCUCCUUAAGACCUGCAGGGGGAGAACGGGGCACUGGGCGCAACUCCUCCUGAUCACGUGGCUUAACAUACUUAAACCCUGCAUUUCAGUUACACAUACCUCGAAUUUGCACGAUUGCACACUCAGAACUGCCAUUUGUACAUGCGUUUGCCUCAACUACUCACUUCCCACUUUUACAUACAUUAUACAAUAUACCUAAUACCCUCCCCUGUUUGACCUUAUGGCUCAUUUAGAUUUGCCAUUUGCACUGUAUAUGCAUUGCACAUCUAUACUUUCAAGUUUUCAUGGUUCAUUUGUCAAAUGCACCGAACAACACAGUACAAUGAAAUUCCUUUGACAUGGCACCUGACUAUGGAGGACCAACCCUGCUAAAA